UGCUUGAGCCAUUUUCCGUUGUCAGAUUCAGAAGUCUUCCUGCUCUCUGCAUCUCACUUUGAUAUCUGUCUACUUCAAUAGGUACCCCUGUCUUAAUAGGAUUCCUGUGUGAAAACAAUGGUUGACCUCUUGACCUUCUCAGGCUCCUGUGUGUGUGUGUGUGUGUGUGUGUGUGUGUGUGUGUUUGGGGUGUAUUUGGUGCAGAGAUUAGCCUCUGAGAUUUAACAUUUAUUUUACUUUCUUGUCGUUUUUGAGAUGUUUAUUAUCCAGACCUCCAACACGGGGCUUCACACAGAAACUUCAAGUACAUUUGACAUCAGGCUCAGUGUUAAAGACGCUACUUGUAAUUUCCCCUUAUGAUAUUGUGAAACUUUAAAGUAUAAUCUUUUUUCAACAUAAGAGUGAGUAAAGGUCCCCAGGUUCCUGAUUUUCUGGGUAAUUUAUCUUAUUUUGUACUAAGUGUUGUCUGGCUGACACGCAUUCAAUAUGCCUUAAGGCCAUAAAAGACAUUCCUCGGUCUGUCUUCACACAAUGGGCCUUAAGAAAGAGCAGGAAACAUUGAUCCUUCUAGGGACACAGGAUGUAUAGAUGAUUGAGAAUUGCCUUAGGCAUCCGUAUGGUUUUAUUUACUCUGUGUGUGAGGAGUUUCACACAGCAAUUUCAAACUGCCUUUAAGGGUGAUGGUAUUACAGGGCAAAAUUUGAUAUACCCUCAUUCCUCAGUCUGCCUUCACACAAUCUGCACCGGAGAUGCAAGAGAUGCUACUCGUGCAGGCUAAUGCUAGCCACCGAUCACAGUCUGCACAGAAGUUGUAAGGAAUGCUGCACGUUGACAUUCAUCAACGGAUAUUCGGACAUUUAUUCAACUUCAAAACUUUAAUCAUUUUUUUUUAGUUCACAAUUUCACAAAAUCAUUGCCUCACGCAAGCUCCUCCUAGACUAUUUUCCCAUUGGCUAACCCUAACACUGCUUGCGCUCCCAUUGGUUCAAGCAAGCUCUGCCUACCCUCCCACAUUCUUUCAAUUCAUUCACACCUCACUCUGCACCGGACAGACAACAGAGAAGGACGUGUCUUUUGCUCCUGAAAGAAUAGAUUUUUUUUACAGAUGACGCUUCAUUUCGUCUCUGGACUACUGCAGCUAACAGCAGGUCACACUAUGUCCUACAGUCUCAGCAGUAGAUGACAGACACGUGAAGCAACAAGACAGGAAAGAAAGAUCCAACAGGAAGGUGGGCGAAGUUUAUCCACCAAAGCUUUUAUUGCGUCUCAUUUGUAUAGUAGUGUUUUGGUUUUAAUCACUGGGUUUGUAACACUAACUACUUUUGAGAACAACUUUGUAAUUAUUUCAUUGAAAUGACAAAAAAGGCAACUGGAUACAUGAUGAACUGAGUUAGAGAGGCAAACAAGUUUCAUAAGCUCCCAAAAUCAAUUGGAAAGUAGAUGGUAAAAUGAACCAGUUACAGAGACAGAGUGUGAAAGGAGAAGGAAAAGUACAGACAAAAAAGUAGAUGUCUCUCUGUAAAAAAACAAACGGCAAACACACUCUCCGGUACUGUUGAGUCGAUCAUACAAUCUGUGUGACCGGGCAGUGCUCAGGCUGAUCCAGGAACAGCGUCUGGAACAUGUGGUUGUAGAAGGAGGGGUGGUAGAGGCAGGCCCGGGCACAGUCUGGGCUGAAGUUCAACUCCAGGAUCUGAGGCUGCAUGACUUGCUCACCUGACCCAGGAUCAGAACACACACAAAUUAGAUAAAUGAUUAUUAGGGUGAUUACACAGAACAGAAACAAGUGUUGUAAAAGGCGUUAGUAUCCUAUACAAAGACAUCAAGAGUCUUUAAAUAUAUAUACACAUAUGUGCAGUAUAUUUAGGUUACAUUAAAAUUGCAAAGAUUAAAUGACUAAUUGUUUAGCACGCCCACUUCACACAGUGAUUGGCCAGGUGUGUGGAGGUGUGUUUUACAUUCUUCACAGAAUCAUUUCUGUCACUUUUUGUGUGUACAACUGAGUUCAACACUAUGAAUGGCCUUUGAGGAUAGACUUGCUGGGAGCAGUUUCAUAUAGGAACUAUUUGUUAGAAUAAACUGUACAUAAGUUAUCACAUUUUUAUGUUUUAUUCCUAGUAGCCUUUAAAGUUCACAGCAAUGCAGUGUGUGUGUUAUUAAACUUGUGUCUGUGAGAAUAACAGGAACGGCACCCUGCUAUCUCAUGACUGGCAGGGCAGGCUGACACCGCACCAGAUGGUCUCAAGAGUAGUGGCUGCUCCCAAGGCCGCUCUCACGAGAUAGACCAGUCUCAACAUAUCUUGUUGUUUAUGAAGCAUUAUACACCUCCCCCACCCCUUAGAAAGCUAUGUAACAGGGAAUCUCUUUAAACUGAAUAAAGAGAGGCAGCUGCAUAGAUGCACUUCAGAGUGAGUAGGAGAUGUAACUGAAUGCAUCUAUGCUUGCUCUCCUCAUGAGUAAAAACUAAAUAA